GUGGUUGUAGCUCAAUUGGAUAGAGCAUCGGCUUGUGGCGCCGAAGGCUGCGGGUUCAAAUCCCGUCAUCCACC
rnacentral:tRNA from 1 species